GUGCUCGCUUUGGUAGCAUAUAUACUAAAAUUGGAAGAAUAUAGAGAAGAUUAGCAUGGCCCCUGCACAAGGAUGACAUGCAAAUUUGUGAAGCAUUCCAUAUUUAA
rnacentral:snRNA from 1 species